GUGCAAUCGCGGGAAGCCAGGGUUUCCAGCUAGGACACAGCAGGUCGUGAUCCGGGUCGGGACACUGCCUGGCAGAGGCUGCGAGCAUGGGGCCCUGGGGCUGGAAAUUGCGCUGGACCGUCGCCUUGCUCCUCGCCGCGGCGGGGACUGCAGUGGGCGACAGAUGCGAAAGAAACGAGUUCCAGUGCCAAGACGGGAAAUGCAUCUCCUACAAGUGGGUCUGCGAUGGCAGCGCUGAGUGCCAGGAUGGCUCUGAUGAGUCCCAGGAGACGUGCUGUGAGUCCCCUUUGGGCAUGAUAUGCAUUUAUUUUUGUAAUAGAGACAGGGUCUCGCCAUGUUGGCCAGGCUGGUCUUGAAUUUCUGGUCUCAAGUGAUCCGCUGGCCUCGGCCUCCCAAAGUGCUGGGAUUACAGGCACCACGCCUGGCCUGUGACACGAUUCUUAACCCCUUUUUGAUGAUGGCGGCUGGAAAAGUGGCCAGUGGAUUUUGAUGUAUUCAAUCAUGAAUUA
rnacentral:lncRNA from 10 species